rnacentral:rRNA from 1 species
AAAAAAUUUUUUUAAAAUAUUUUAAAUCUGGUUUUUGAGGUUAUUUUAAACUUAUAGUGAAGAAGUACUGUGAAGGGUUGGUUUAAAAGUUAGGGGUUAAGUUUUCUUUUACCUUUUGUAUCAUGGUUUAACUAUUAUUAUUCUUUAGUUUUAGGGUUUUCCCGAAUUGUUUCGAGUUAACAGAUUCUUUUUUUAGAAAUUUAUUUUUGGUUCUUUCCAUUAGAGAAGUUUUUGUUAGUGGUUAUAUGCUAAUCGCGUGACAAUAUAGCUGGUUUUAGGCUUUUUUUCUUUAUGUUUUUGGGUUUUCUUUUUUAAAAGUUUAUUUAGGUUUUAAAAAGGGGGGUUAAGCUUUCUUUUUGGGGGUUAAAGCUCUUAUGUUUGUUUAAAGUUAUUUAUUUCUAAGUUUAAGGUUGAAGUUGGAUUAGUUGCAUCUGAUUUUUAUUGAAUUAUGUUUUUCUUAAUAUAGCGUUAAAGCAUUGGCAUUUUCUUUUUUUAAAAAGUUUUCUGGGUAUACAUUUUUGGGUCUUUAGUUUUAGUUUUUUUCUUAAGUUAUAAUGUUAAAAUAAGUAAUUUUGUUAAAAGUUUUUUAUAUUUAUUAAAAGUUUUUUUAUCUGAGGAAUUAGGCAAAAUAAACUUCGCCUGUUUACUAAAAACAUCGUCUUUUGCUAAAAAGUUUUUGAGGUAUAAGAGAUCGGUACUGCCCAGUGCGUUUCUAUGGUUUUAGUAGUAAGUUAACGGCGGCGGUAUUCUUAACUGUCCGAAGGUAGCGUAAUUAUUUGGUCUUUAAUUGGGAUCUGGUAUGAAUGGGUUGACGAGGGUUUUUCUGUCUUAGUUUUUGUUAGUGAAUUUAGUUUUUUAGUUAAAAACCUUUUUUGUAUUUUAGGGACGAUAAGACCCCGACGAGUUUAUUCUUUUUUAGAAGUUUUUCUCUAAAAAACAGUUUGGUUGGGGCAACUUAUAAUGUUUUAUAUUUUAUUUCUUUAUUUUUAUUAUUAAAGUAGUUUUAGGUUUUCUAGUUUAAAAAUUUUUUUGGUUUUGAUCUAGGUUGAUUCUUAGUUUUUGUGAAAAUUACCGCGGGGGUAACAGCGUGGUUUUCUUGGAGAGUGCUUAUUGAAGAGAUAGUUCGCGACCUCGAUGUAGAAUCAUUCUUUCCUGGUGGAGCAGCAAGUACUAAGGGUGGGUUUGUUCAACCUUUAAAAGAAUACGUGAUUUGUGUUUAGACCGUGGUGACACAGGUCAGGUUCUAUCUUAUAUUUGUUUUUUCUCUUGUACGAGAGGACUGGGAAGUUUAAAUUUCUUUUUAGGUGAGUUUAUU